rnacentral:rRNA from 1 species
AGUGAACGCUAAAGGAAGGCCUAACACAUGCAAGUCGAACGGCAGCAAACACACAAAUAGAUCUACAGGGAGGCGAGUGGCGGAAGGGUGAGGAAUACAUCGGAAUCUACUUUUUCGUGGGGGAUAACGUAGGGAAACUUACGCUAAUACCGCAUACGACCUACGGGUGAAAGCAGGGGAUCUUCGGACCUUGCGCGAUUGAAUGAGCCGAUGUCGGAUUAGCUAGUUGGCGGGGUAAAGGCCCACCAAGGCGACGAUCCGUAGCUGGUCUGAGAGGAUGAUCAGCCACACUGGAACUGAGACACGGUCCAGACUCCUACGGGAGGCAGCAGUGGGGAAUAUUGGACAAUGGGCGCAAGCCUGAUCCAGCCAUACCGCGUGGGUGAAGAAGGCCUUCGGGUUGUAAAGCCCUUUUGUUGGGAAAGAAAAGCAGCAGGUUAAUACCCCGCUGUUCUGACGGUACCCAAAGAAUAAGCACCGGCUAACUUCGUG